rnacentral:tRNA from 1 species
GCGGGCGUGGCGGAACUGGCAGACGCGCCAGGUUUAGGACCUGGUGUCGAGAGACGUGGGGGUUCGAGUCCCCCCGCCCGCA